GAGGAUGGAGCUCAGUUGGUAGAGUGUUAGCCUUGCAAGCACAAGGCCCUGGGUUCAGUCCCCAGCACCACA
rnacentral:tRNA from 1 species